rnacentral:rRNA from 1 species
AGCUCCAAUAGCGUAUAUUAAUGUUGUUGCAGUUAAAAAGCUCGUAGUUGGAUUUCUGGUGGGAGCGGCCGGUCCGCCGUAAGGUGUGUACUUGGUUGUCUCCUGUCAUCCUUGUGGGAACUGCUCUGGCAUUAAGUUGUCGGGGUUAGGGAACACAUCGUUUACUGUGAAAAAAUUAGAGUGUUUAAAGCAGGCUUAUGCCGUUGAAUACAUUAGCAUGGAAUAAUAAGAUAGGACUUUGGCGUCUAUUUUGUUGGUUUGCACACCAAGGUAAUGAUUAAUAGGGAUAGUUGGGGGUAUUCGUAUUUAAUUGUCAGAGGUGAAAUUCUUGGAUUUAUGAAAGACGAACUUCUGCGAAAGCAUUUACCAAAGAUGUUUUCA